GUGAUUAAUACCCCAUAGGAAGCUUUAUCCAUGAUUUAGCUUUUAAAGCCUUCGGGCGCUGAGGGAUUGGGAUAUGCUCUAUUAGCUAGUUGGCGGGAUAAAAGCCCACCAAGGCAAUGAUAGAUAGCUGGUCUUAGAGGAUGAACAGCCACAAUGGGAUUGAGAUACGGCCCAUAUUCCUACGGGAAGCAGCAGUAGGGAAUCUUCCACAAUGGACGAAAGUCUGAUGGAGCAAUACCAUGUGAACGAUGAAGGCCUUUUUGGUUGUAAAGUUCUUUUACGAGGGAUAAUUAUGAUAGUACUUCGUGAAUAAGUGACAGCAAACUAUGUGCCAGCAGCUGCGGUAAUACAUAGGUCGCAAGCAUUAUUCGGAUUUAUUGGGCGUAAAGCAAGCGCAGGCGGAUGUGUAAGUUCUGUGUUAAAUGCAGCUACUCAAUAGUUGUAUGCACCGAAUACUACAUGUCUAGAUUGUGGUAGGGAGUUUCGGAAUUAAGCAUGGAGCGGUGGAAUGUGUAGAUAUGCUUAAGAACACCAGAGGCGAAGGCGGAAACUUAGGCCAUAAAUGACGCUUAGGCUUGAAAGUGUGGGGAGCAAAUGGGAUUAGAUACCCCAGUAGUCCACACCGUAAACGAUGGGUAUUAGAUAUUAGGGCUUUAGCUUUAGUGUUGUAGCUUACGCGUUAAAUACCCCGCCUGGGUAGUACAUAUGCAAAUAUGAAACUCAAAGGAAUUGACGGGGACCUGAACAAGUGGUGGAGCAUGUUGCUUAAUUCGAUAAUACACGAAAAACCUUACCAAGGUUUGACAUCCCUCGCAAAGCUAUAGAAAUAUAGUAGAGGUUAUCGAGGUGACAGGUGGUGCAUGGCUGUCGUCAGCUCGUGUCUUGAGAUGUUUGGUUAAGUCCCGCAACGAGCGCAACCCCACUCUUUAGUUACUUGUCUAAAGAGACUGCACAGUAAUGUAGAGGAAGGAUGGGAUCACGUCAAGUCAUCAUGCCCCUUAUGCCUUGGGCUGCAAACGUGCUACUAAUGGCGAACACUAAUGUGUUGCAAACCAGCGAUGGUAAGCUAAUCACCAAAUUUCGUCUCAGUUCGGAUAGGAGGCUGCAAUUCGCCUCCUUGAAGUUGGAAUCACUAGUAAUCCCGUGUCAGCUAUAUCGGGGUGAAUCCGUUCCCAGGUCUUGUACACACCGCC
rnacentral:rRNA from 1 species